CCUACGGGGGACAGCAGUGGGGAAUAUUGCACAAUGGGGGAAACCCUGAUGCAGCGACGCCGCGUGAGUGAAGAAGUAAUUCGUUAUGUAAAGCUCUAUCAGCAGGGAAGAAAAUGACGGUACCUGAGUAAGAAGCCCCGUCUAACUACGUGCCAGCAGCCGCGGUAAUACGUAGGGGGCAAGCGUUAUCCGGAUUUACUGGGUGUAAAGGGAGCGUAGACGGCUGUGCAAGUCUGGAGUGAAAGGGGGGGGCUCAACCCCCGGACUGCCCUGGAAACUGUACGGCUGGAGAGCAGGAGAGGUAAGUGGAAUUCCUGGUGUAGCGGUGAAAUGCGUAGAUAUUAGGAGGAACACCAGUGGCGAAGGCGGCUUACUGGACUAUAACUGACGUUGAGGCUCGAAAGCGUGGGGAGCAAACAGGAUUAGAUACCCGAGUAGUC
rnacentral:rRNA from 1 species